rnacentral:lncRNA from 1 species
GCCGCUUAAUAUCACCUGUAUGUGCUCUCAUGUGUAAACCGUUUUCAUGUGUCUGCUGACUAAUAACUUGACCACAUAUAUAACAGUAAUGAGGUUUUUUCACGUGUAUGUGUUCUCAUGUGUGAACCGUUCUUGUGUGUCUCUGUAAAUUACCAAGCUGACUAAACCCUUUACCACAUAAAAUACAGUUAUGAGGUUUAUCACCUGUAUGUAUUCUCAUGUGAAUUUUUAAGCCUACAAGCUGAGUAAACCGUUUACCACAUACAUCACAGUCAUGAGGUUUAUCGCCUGUAUGGGUUCUCAUGUGUUUUUGUAAAUUACUAUGUUCACUGAACCUUUUACCACAUACAUCACAGUCAUGAGGUUUAUCGCCUGUAUGGGUUCUCAUGUGUUUUUGUAAAUUACAAUGCACACUGAACCUUUUACCACAUACAUCACAUUCAUGAGGUUUGUCACCGGUAUGUGUUCUCGUGUGUCUUCUUAAAUCACCAAGCUCACUAAACUGUUUACCACAUACAUCACAGUUAUGAGGUUUAUCACCUGUAUGUGUUCUCAUGUGCUUCUUUAAAUUACUAUAAUGACUGAACCCUUUGCAACAUAAAUCACAUAUAUAAGGUUUAUCACCUGUAUGUGUUCUCAUGUGAUCCCGUAAAUAAUUUAUACGACUAAACCCUUUACCACAUUCCCCACAGUCAUACGGUUUAUCACCUGUAUGUAUUCUCGCAUGUUUCUGUAAGCUACUCUGAUGAUUAAACUGUUGAUCACAUAAAUCACAUGCGUGAGGUUUUUCUCCUGUAUGUAUUCUCAUGUGAAUCUGUAAACUACUCUGCUGAUUAAACUGUUGAUCACAUAAAUCACACUCAUGAGGUUUUUCACCUGUAUGUAUUCUCUUGUGUAUCUGUAAACUACCAUGCUGAAUAAAUCUUUUACCACACAAAUUGCACUCAUGAGGUUUAUCACCUGUAUGUAUUUUGAUGUGUCUCUGUAAAGAAGCAUAUAGACUAAACCUUUUACCACAUACAUCACAGUCAUAAGGUUUAUCUCCAGAAUGUAUUAGCAUGUGUCUAGUUAGG